rnacentral:ncRNA from 1 species
UUACAUGCGAUGAAGAGAACAGUAGAUAACCAGAAACUUCAACAGAGAGCUCCGGACGGUGAAAAGGAGCAGGUGGAAGGUUAUUGAAGCAAGCCUCAGAGCAUUCUGCCGGAUCAGUGUGAUGGCAGAACGGACGCCUCCGUUAACAGGCUUGGGUAUAGAUCUUGUACCUGAAAAGGCUAAUAUGGUGACAUAUUGGCAAACUGAGGUGGCACCGCGACGGAAUCUCGCCCUCAGG